rnacentral:rRNA from 1 species
UACGGGGGGGGCAAGCGUUGUUCGGAAUUACUGGGCGUAAAGGGCUCGUAGGCGGCCAACUAAGUCAUACGUGAAAUCCCUCGGCUUAACCGGGGAACUGCGUCUGAUACUGGAUGGCUUGAGAUUGGGAGAGGGAUGCGGAAUUCCAGGUGUAGCGGUGAAAUGCGUGAGAUAUCUGGAGGAACACCGGUGGCGAAGGCGGCAUCCUGGACCAACACUGACGCUGAGGAGCGAAAGCCAGGGGAGCAAAGCGGG